CUUCAGUGAACCGAGCCACAGCGGCCGUUCCUCCGAUCGCCCACGGCCGUACGUGGCGAUGAGGGCUUCGGCCUC
rnacentral:antisense_RNA from 1 species